GGAAAGGAGUUUUUAGAUGAGAAAUUUUUUUUUAGGGAUUCACAGGGGAAGAGAGAAGAUGGAGAUUUAACCAUUGACCGGAAUGUAAAUAAAC